AUUGAACGCUAGCGGCAUGCUUAACACAUGCAAGUCGAGCGCGCGUGGGACGGGGGUGUGAUGUCUGGGGAACUGCCUGAUGGCGGGGGGUAACUCCUGGAAACGGUAGCUAAUACCGCGUACCAUCCGAUGUGCCCGGUUUGGAUUCGCUCGUAGGUGGGGUAAUGGCUCACCUAGGCGACGAUCCCUAGCUGGUCUGAGAGGAUGACCCGCCACACUGGAACUGAGAGACGGUCUAGACUCCUAAGGGAGGCAGCAGUGGGGAAGAUUGGACAAUGGGCGCAAGCCUGAUGCAGCCAUGCCGCGGGUGUGAAGAAGGCCCUCGGGUUGUAAAGCACUUUCAGCGGUGAGGCGUUACCUGCAGAAGAAGCACCGGCUAACUCCGUGCCAGCAGCCGCGGUAAUAC
rnacentral:rRNA from 1 species